UACGUAGGGCGCGAGCGUUGUCCGGAAUUAUUGGGCGUAAAGAGCUCGUAGGCGGCUUGUUGCGUCGACCGUGAAAACCCGCGGCUUAACUGCGGGCUUGCGGUUGAUACGGGCGGGCUGGAGUUCGGUAGGGGAGACUGGAAUUCCUGGUGUAGCGGUGAAAUGCGCAGAUAUCAGGAGGAACACCGGUGGCGAAGGCGGGUCUCUGGGCCGAUACUGACGCUGAGGAGCGAAAGCGUGGGGAGCGAACAGG
rnacentral:rRNA from 1 species